rnacentral:rRNA from 1 species
AGCCGCCGCGGUAAUACCGGCGGCUCGAGUGGUGGCCACUUUUAUUGGGCUUAAAGCGUUCGUAGCUGGGUUAUUAAGUCCCUUGGGAAAUCCGACAGCUUAACUGUCGGGCGUCUAAGAGAUACUGGUAAUCUUGGAACCGGGAGAGGUGAGGGGUACUUCGGGGGUAGGAGUGAAAUCCUGUAAUCCUCGAGGGACCACCUGUGGCGAAGGCGCCUCACCAGAACGGCUUCGACAGUGAGGGACGAAAGCUGGGGGAGCAAACCGGAUUAGAUACCCGGGUAGUCCCAGCCGUAAACGAUGUGCGUUAGGUGUAUCGGUGACCACGAGUCACCGAGGUGCCGAAGGGAAACCGUGAAACGUACCGCCUGGGAAGUACGGUCGCAAGGCUGAAACUUAAAGGAAUUGGCGGGGGAGCACCACAACAGGUGGAGCCUGCGGUUUUAAAUUGGACUCAACGCCGGAAAUCUCACCGGAUAAGACAGCAGAAUGAUUGCCGGGCUGAAGACUCUGCAUGACUAGCUGAGAAGUGGUGCAUGG